CCUCGGGAGGCAGCAGUGGGGAAUAUUGCACAAUGGGGGAAACCCUGAUGCAGCGACGCCGCGUGAGUGAAGAAGUAUUUCGGUACGUAAAGCUCUAUCAGCAGGGAAGAAAAAAAGUCCUUUGGACUUUGGACGGUACCUGACUAAGAAGCCCCGGCUAACUACGUGCCAGCAGCCGCGGUAAUACGUAGGGGGCAAGCGUUAUCCGGAUUUACUGGGUGUAAAGGGAGCGUAGACGGCAGCGCAAGUCUGGAGUGAAAUGCCGGGGCCCAACCCCGGAACUGCUUUGGAAACUGUGCAGCUGGAGUGCAGGAGAGGUAAGCGGAAUUCCUAGUGUAGCGGUGAAAUGCGUAGAUAUUAGGAGGAAUACCAGUGGCGAAGGCGGCUUACUGGACUAUAACUGACGUUGAGGCUCGAAAGCGUGGGGAGCAAACAGGAUUAGAUACCCUUGUAGUC
rnacentral:rRNA from 1 species